GUGAUCUUGCGUUGCGAGGCCAGUGUCAGUCAGAGCCUCCCCCAGCCGCUGACAUACUCCUUCAGCCUCCUGCAGGACAGUCAGGUGAUGUACUCCAAAAAUAGCAGUGCCUCAGUGGUGGAGCGCAGUUUAUCUCCAGCCAGGGUGUCCAACUCUGGUCGCUACCAGUGCAGUGUCCACAUCUACAACAAGCACAAGAUGAGCCUUCAAAUCCCUGUGCUGAAGGUGAUGUCUGACAUCGUGUCUGAGGGGGAAGACAUUAUUGCCACAUGCAGUGCACCAGAGGAGACAGGCAGUCUGAUGUUCUACUUCUACGAGGAUGAUCAGGAGGUCAAGAGAGUCGUUAGUACCAGCAACUCUGUGACAACCACUCUGACCAUGCAGAAGCUCACAGACAUCUACCUGCAUUGUGACUAUAUGGUUAUGAAGCAAUGCAGCGCAGGACACUCCAACAAAAGCAACAUGGUGAAAGUUAUUGUACAAGGUAAAAAUCUUGAUGCGAUCACCCCACAAAUAAGCAUCUCCCCCAAAGUGAAUGUUGUUGAGGGUGACAGGGUGCAGAUCACAUGUAAGGUGCAACUUAACUCAGAUCUUGAGUUGUACCUCACCAAAGGCAACACCCUUCUUCGUGAAUCUCAUACAACCUUCACAUACAGCCUCGUAGUAAGAGCUGAGGAUUCAGGGGUCUAUGUGUAUAAAGCAGAGAAAGGCAGCGUGCAAAAGAAGGCAGUCUAUCUGCUAAAUGUUGCAGAACUGUUCUCAAAGCCAAUUUUGAAAAUGAGCCCAGACCAGCUUUUUGAAGGAGAACGCUUCACUCUGACCUGCAGCAGUACUGUAAUCUCCUCAGUGAAGAUCGGAAAAGCAGACAUAAAGUAUGUUUUGCUGAAAGAUGGCCGACGCAUUGCAGCAGUUGCCAAAUACGAUGACACUGCAAGCCUGGCCACCAAUGGGAACUACUACUGUAUGGCCAUGGCUAAAGAAGUUAACAAGACCAGCUUACCAUUUAUUUUAAAGGCUAAAGUGCCUGUUUCUGCCCCAGUCCUUCGUGCUGUUAAUAAGGUGAUUGUUGGUAAACCAUUCAGAGUUUCAUGUGAGUCUGAAAAUGGAACGUUUCCAAUAACCUACACCUUACUGAAGACCAGCGUUCCAGUGGAUUACAGGACAGUGGUUGAGGCAGCUGACAGGGCGAUCUUUAAUAUAACCUCCAUCAGUUUCCCUGAAGAGAUCUACAGCUUCAUAUGUCAGGCGUCUAACCAUGUGCCAUCAUUCAGUAACACCAGUGAAUACACGCAUACACCUCCUUUGAAUAAUUAUAGCCAAAAUCCGUUAAAAUCCCACCAAAAUCCGUUGCCAUGA
rnacentral:lncRNA from 1 species